GGUGCCCCGAAGAGAGGUUUUCUGGGUUUCCGUUUCUUUAACAAGGAUGAAACACACCCAGUGAACCUCUUUUCCUGCAUC
rnacentral:pre_miRNA from 1 species